rnacentral:lncRNA from 1 species
CUCUCGCCUGCCUUCGGCCCUUAGGCUCCGGGAGAUUGCAAAUAACCUGCUUUCUUUCUGUUCCCAGGUGGCGUCGGACCCCUGUCAGAGAGUAAAUCUCAAGUAAGGUACCUGCCAUCGGCAGAUUUGAGCUUUCUUCUUGGACACCUAAUACCCACAGUCCUCCAGGGCUCCGGUAGACUGCAAAUGACCUGCUUUCUUUCUGUUCCCGGGCUGCGUUUGGACCCCUGUCGGAUAGUAAAUCCCAAGGCUCCGGUAGACUGCAAAUGACCUGCUUUCUUUCUGUUCCCGGGCUGCGUUUGGACCCCUGUCGGACAGUAAAUCCCAAGGAAUGGAACAGAUAAGAAGAUACUGAAAUUGGACGGUGCUGCCGUGCGGCUGCCGCAGGACACCUUUAAUAUCCCUGUUUCUCAGGCUGUAGAUGAAGGGGUUCAGCAUGGAGGUGAUCACCGUGUACAUCACUGAGGCCACUGCAGCCUUUCUCGGGGAAGAUGACACAUCUGAACUGAGGUACCCUCCAAAGCCUGUUCCGUAAAAUCAGCAAACAACUGACAGGGAUAACUUCAGGAAGUGGGUAUUAAUUCUCACGGUAUAAGUGAAGACAUUAAGCACCAGAGUUUAAGUAGCUUGGAUCCACUGAAAGAGAUUCAACUGUGUGGAACCUAUGCCGUGGAGAAUUGCUUUCUGCCAUUGUUAUCGUCCAGCAGUUGCCGAAUAGCUCUGACCUGAGCAAAGCAGUGAAACGCGGUGCUGUUGAGUGGGUUGCCACUGCACCUUUUUCAACUACUCUAGUCUUGUGGAGAAAAUACCCCUUCUAAAUUUUUUCUUCAUUGAAUACUCUCCCUCAGCUCCAGAGUACCAUAUAGAGUUUUCUUGUAUUUUAGAGUUACUGUUUUAUCAAAGUUUACCAGUCUUUUGUAUUACAUUUCUCCUGUCUAAAU